GAUGAACGCUGGCGGCGUGCCUAAUACAUGCAAGUCGAGCGAACUGAUUAGAAGCUUGCUUCUAUGACGUUAGCGGCGGACGGGUGAGUAACACGUGGGCAACCUGCCUGUAAGACUGGGAUAACUUCGGGAAACCGAAGCUAAUACCGGAUAGGAUCUUCUCCUUCAUGGGAGAUGAUUGAAAGAUGGUUUCGGCUAUCACUUACAGAUGGGCCCGCGGUGCAUUAGCUAGUUGGUGAGGUAACGGCUCACCAAGGCAACGAUGCAUAGCCGACCUGAGAGGGUGAUCGGCCACACUGGGACUGAGACACGGCCCAGACUCCUACGGGAGGCAGCAGUAGGGAAUCUUCCGCAAUGGACGAAAGUCUGACGGAGCAACGCCGCGCGAGUGACGAAGGCUUUCGGGUCGUAAAACUCUGUUGUUAGGGAAGAACAAGUACGAGAGUAACUGCUCGUACCUUGACGGUACCUAACCAGAAAGCCACGGCUAACUACGUGCCAGCCGCCGCGGUAAUAC
rnacentral:rRNA from 1 species